rnacentral:rRNA from 1 species
GAGAUGAGGUGUAAAGGUGACUUGUGUUCAACAGAUACACAGCUUAAUUAUUAUUGAGUGAGUGCUCAGAGAAGGUGAAAAGCCUGUGUGGUUGUGUCCAUCUGUUGAAUCGGGUUACUGACGAGUCUAGUUGUUUGAGAGUACAACUUAAAGCUGGUGGUAAAUUUCAUCAAAGGCUAAAUAUAUGAGGGGACUAAUAGCGAACAAGUACCAUGAGGGAAAGUUGAAAAGGACUCUGACGAGAGAGUUCAAUAGUACGUGAAACCAUAUUGAGUAAAACAGAUAACUGUGUUGUUAUGUGGUGUGCCUAUCAACAGUGAAUUCGGCGUUGCGCCGCUGCCUGUGUGAGCUGUCUAUUCAGCCGAACGCUGGCGGUGGUGCAUAGUCGGAGCGUCUGUGUACUAGUGCACACUCGAUCAUUGAGAAACUAUGCUGCUGCGGUAUCGGUGUGCAUCAGUCCGUACCUAGUGCGAGGUUGCAUGCUGGGCUCUGCUGGCGGCGUCGUUUAGCUGUGUGACAGCUGUGGAUCGCGUUCACUGAAUGUGCCUGCUGUAUCUGCGGAGUGGUUCAUUCCUCUCUGCGGUGAGCAUUACGGUGCAGUGGGUGAGCGGUCCGCCAUCAAUGGUUAACAUUAGUUAUUUGACCCGUCUUGAAACACGGACCAAGGAGUUCAAAUGGCACGCGAGUCAUUGGGUUUCAGCACCCGAAGGCGAAGUGAAAUGCAAACGUAUCGUUACGCGUCCUUGUUGGGCGAAUAAGCGAUAAGCUACUCAUGCUU